AUUAACAACAAUCUAAUCAAAUAUAUUCCCACGAAUAAAAGUGAGCUAAACAUGUAUAUAUUUGGUGUUGAGUACGUAGCAUAGUAAUAAAAAAUGUAUGUUUAGGGGUGAUAGGCCUUUCAAACUUUUGGAUAACUUGUUGCACAUGAAAUGUAUUUAGUACAUAGACAAGCUUGAAAAGUUAAGCUUUUAAGCGUUUAUUAAGAGUAUUUUAAUAUUUUACUACAGAUUAAUCCCUAACUAUAAAGUGCAUUAAUAUUAAUUUUGUAUCUUUAUAAUUACUAAUGUGCUGAUGAAUUACAUAUUAUUUUAAUAAUGUUAAUAUGAGUAGUGUUGAAAUAAAUAUGUAUAAGGAACUCGGCAAAUUUACUGUUCAACUGUUUAUCAAAAACAUAGCUACAUGAGUUAAUAUGUAGUUUCUUCUGCUCAAUGAUAAUUAAAUAGCCGCAGUACCUUGACUGUGCAAAGGUAGCAUAAUCAGUUGGCUUUUAAUUAAAGUCUGGAAUGAAUGAAUGUAUGAAUAGUUGCUGUCUUAUAUGUACUUUUUUGAACUUAGUAAAUAAGUGAAAAUACUUAUAUUAAUAUAAAAGACGAGAAGACCCUAGAAACUUGGAUUGAUUUUUGUUGGGGCGACAAAAUUACAUUUAACUAAUUUUUGUUAACGAGACGUAAUAAUGGAAGAAUAAGUUACUCUAGGGAUAACAGCAUAAUUUUAAUAAUAGUUUGUGACCUCGAUGUUGGACUAGGUAUUGUAUUCUUAAGGCAAGAAUAUAGACUGCUCUGUUCGAGCAAAUACACCUACAU
rnacentral:rRNA from 1 species